UACGUAGGGUCCAAGCGUUAUCCGGAAUCACUGGGCGUAAAGCGUGCGUAGGUGGCGCGUUAAGUGUGAUGUUAAAUCGUGUGGCUCAACCAUAUCGAUGCAUCACAUACUGGCGUGACUAGAGGACAGCAGAGGCAAGUGGAAUUGGUAGUGUAGCAGUGAAAUGCGUAGAUAUCAGGAGGAACACCGGUGGCGAAGGCGGGAUCUCUGGGCCGUAACUGACGCUGAGGAGCGAAAGCAUGGGGAGCGAACAGG
rnacentral:rRNA from 1 species